rnacentral:lncRNA from 1 species
AUGAAUACCUUCUUCAGCAAGCGCAGCAACAGGAAGUGGACCUGGAAAAGCCCUAAUGGAGAAACAAAGAAUUAAAUAGAUUUCGUACUUACUGCUGAUCCCAGCAUAGUGCAGGAUGUAGAAGUGAUAGGUAGGGUAAAGUGCAGUGACCAUAGGUUAGUGAGGUCUUGGAUUUCUCGCAGUAGGAAGAAAGAGUAAAAUUAGUCAAGAAGAAACAGGCCGACCUAGACGCAGUAAGGGUAAAAGCAGACGGAUUCAGGCUAGUGCUCGCAAACAAAUGUGCAGCUUUAGAACAGGAGGAUGAAGAUAACAAAGAGGUAAUGAAGGAAACCGUGACUGGGCUGAUCUCAGAAGCAGCAAUUGAAGUUGGAGGUAAGACACCAAGGCAACAAGUACGUAAGCUCUCCCCAGUAACAAAGGACCUAAUAAAGCAACG